UACAGAGGGUGCAAGCGUUAAUCGGAAUUACUGGGCGUAAAGUGUGCGUAGACGGUCAUGUAAGUCGGGUGUGAAAGCCCCGGGCUCAACCUGGGAAUUGCAUUCGAGACUGCAUGGCUAGGGUGCGGAAGAGGGAAGCGGAAUUUCCGGUGUAGCGGUGAAAUGCGUAGAUAUCGGAAGGAACACCAGUGGCGAAAGCGGCUUCCUGGUCCAGCACCGACGUCAGGCACGAAAGCGUGGGGAGCAAACAGG
rnacentral:rRNA from 1 species